GUACAAAUUUUCUUCAUUCACGACACUAGGUAUCUUCUCAUCUUUUCGAUAUACUUCUGAUAGUCCUUCAGUAGCGGUCCAAUUAUUUAAAUCGAAGUACAAUAUUUUGUGGAGUAACUUUAUGUCGAUAGAAUUCUGGAGGAUUUGUUUGCGAAGUGGGUCAUUAUUUUCGGGAAAAUUCCUGGGGAAAUUCCUUCGAAAUGACCAUGUCAUCUUUGAAGAAUUUUCUUGUAGUGCUUUCCUCAGAAUGAAUGAACCUUCAAGAACACAUUUUCUAUAUUCACGACACUAAGUAUCUUCUCAUCUUAUCGAUAUACUUCUGAUAGUCCUUUAGUAGCGGUAUAAUUAUUUCAAUGGAAAUGCAAUAUUUUGUGGAACAACUUUAUGUCGAUAGAAUUCUGGAGGGUUUGAUUGCGAAGUGGGUCAUUAUUUUUGGGAUGAUUCCUAGGAAAAUUCCUACGAAAUGAUCAACUCAUCUUCGAGGAAUUUUCUCUUGAUGCUCUCCUUAGAAUCAAUGACUCUUCAAGAUCAGAUUCAACAAAUUUGCGACUAAAGUUUUUUCUCAUCUUAUUGAUUCAUUUCUUAGCGUAAUUCCGUUUCGACUAAAUUAUUAUUUCGUCGCGAUAUAAGUGUUGAGUGUACAAAAAAGGUAAAGAAAGUAGGUACAAGACAAGAUAAUAAGUAUAUUCGAUAAUGUCAUAUAUUUUAUAUCAUUCGAAAUUGAAUUUUGAUAUACGUUACUGACAAAAUGGGUAGUAUUGAAGAUUCAAUACGUAAAUAUUUAACGCAGUAACGUAUUAUCUGAAGAACAGAAGAUAAUCAUUUAUUUUUCAGUAGAAAGUUAAUGGAUCAGAUAGUUUGUCUCGAAAGAUUUUGUCCUCAGAACUGAAUAUAUAAUUAGAUACUGCACCUGUCACUCCUGUCAGCACCUACAACAGCAUGACAGAAGUUGGUGGCAAAAGUCUAAACAACAUAAGUUAUAAGUAGCAGCAGUUGACUUGGAUUGCCGUGAUUAUCAGUAUCGAGAUGGUUUUCUUAUACUCGUGGAGUAACAAACCAUCUAGAGAACAGAAGAUAAUCAUUUAUUUUUCAUAUGAAAGUUAAUGA